rnacentral:rRNA from 1 species
UAGUCCACGCCGUAAACGAUGAUUACUCGGUAUUGGCGAUAAACAGUCAGUGCCCAAGCGAAAGCGUUAAGUAAUCCACCUGGGGAGUACGUUCGCAAGAAUGAAACUCAAAGGAAUUGACGGGGGUCCGCACAAGCGGGGGAGCAUGUGGUUUAAUUCGAUGAUACGCGAGGAACCUUACCUAGGCUAGAAUGCUUUUGGACCGAUGCCGAAAGGUGUUUUUCUCUUCGGAGACCGAUUGCAAGGUGCUGCAUGGUUGUCGUCAGCUCGUGCCGUGAGGUGUUGGGUUAAGUUCCGCAACGAGCGCAACCCCUAUCCUUAGUUGCCAGCGGGUAAUGCCGGGGACUCUAGGGAAACUGCCUACGCAAGUAGUGAGGAAGGCGGGGACGACGUCAAAUCAUCAUGGCCCUUACGCCUAGGGCUACACACAUGCUACAAUGGUCGUGACAAAGAGUUGCUAGUCUGCGAAGGCAAGCCAAUCUCAUAAACGCGGCCUUAGUUCGGAUUGCAGGCUGAAACUCG